CCUACGGGUGGCAGCAGUGAGGAAUAUUGGUCAAUGGACGCAAGUCUGAACCAGCCAUGCCGCGUGCAGGAAGACGGCUCUAUGAGUUGUAAACUGCUUUUGUACGAGGGUAAACGCAGAUACGCGUAUCUGUCUGAAAGUAUCGUACGAAUAAGGAUUGGCUAACUCCGUUCCAGCAGCCGCGGUAAUACGGAGGAUUCAAGCGUUAUCCGGAUGUAUUGGGUUUAAAGGGUUCGUAGGCGGUCGGGUAAGUUCGAGGGGAAAUCCCGAGGCUCAAUUUCGGAAUUGCCUCUGAUACUGUUCGGCUAGAGAGUAGGUGCGGUAGGCGGAAUGUAUGGUGUAGCGGUGAAAUGCUUAGAGAUCAUACAGAACACCGAUUGCGAAGGCAGCUUACCAAGCUACUUCUGACGUUGAGGCACGAAAGCGUGGGGAGCAAACAGGAUUAGAUACCCUAGUAGUC
rnacentral:rRNA from 1 species